UACGAAGGGUGCAAACGUUGCUCGGAAUUAUUGGGCGUAAAGGGCGCGUAGGCGGCCAUUCAAGUGACGGGUGAAAGCCCUCGGCUUAACCGAGGAACUGCCUGUCAGACUGGAUGGCUUGAGACCGGGAGAGGUGAGUGGAAUUCCCAGUGUAGCGGUGAAAUGCGUAGAUAUUGGGAGGAACACCAGUGGCGAAGGCGGCUCACUGGACCGGAACUGACGCUGAGGCGCGAAAGCGUGGGGAGCAAACAGG
rnacentral:rRNA from 1 species